ACGCGCCGCCCGCCGGAGGGGCGUGUGUGCGCGAGCCCGGGGUGGGUGCCCCGGUAGGUGCGGGCGUGUGUGUCCUGGGAGGGGCCUCGCGGAGAGCCGCGGCCCGGCGUGGGGGGUGUGCCUGACGCGCGCCUGUGCCCGGCGGGACGCAGAGGGUGGCUUCCGCAGCUCGGGAACCCUGCUUUGCAGCCUGCACCCCGGCUCCCGUGUGGCCGCUGUUGUCUUGUCUGUCGCCCAACGGUGCGCUCAGCCCAGCCCUGCUUGGACGCUGUUCACGCCCCUGCGCUCGGUCCCUUGCUCCUGUCCUCUCUUUCCCAUUCCACUCGCAGCAGAGCAGGGUGGGCUCCUGCCCUCUCUGCUGUCGAGAAGCCUGGUCACUGGCUUAUCAGGUUCAGUACCGAAACUGGAGGUUUAAUGCGCUAGGGGUUCUCAGUAACAGGCUCCAGUGCCUAGUUGAUCUUAUUUGUGGGAAGCAGGUUAAUUUUUCGUCUAUUAAAGGCUAGAACGUUCCUGAUUAGAAGGUGUUACCAGGUUGUAAAUUGUCAGGUUGUAAGUGGGUGUGCGGGUGCCAAGCUUCUGCCCAUAGGUCAGAAUCAGAAGCAGCUUGUGUUUUGGGGGGAUUGGGAGAGUGCCCCAAACCUGCUGUUGCCUUCUCUGGACAGGACUUGUCAUGGUGUAGCUUUCCAUCUCCUGUAACAGCCCGCAGGGAGGACUAGACAUUCUUUGGUUGCAGCAAAUUUGGCGUUGUCUUCCUGAUGAAUUCAGUUAUGGGGCUUCUGGUUGCCAGUUUCUCCUUUCUUUGGACGAGAAAGGAUUGAAGUCAUCUGGAUAAAGGACAGACUUUGGAAGGAGGGACUUCCAUCUUUUUUAUAUGUAUUGUGUAAGGCAGUAUGUUGUGAACUGUUUAUACGUUGUGGGAAAAAACCCCAACAAGACCUGCUCGAGGUUUGGGUAGUCCUACUUAUGUUUAAGUAUCAAAGUAAUGGUACUGGUAGGUUGGCAGGGUUGGAGAGCUGUGACUUUAGCGUCCUAGAUGCAGGUCUGCGUAAUGGCUUUUCAGGGAUAGGAAGUCCCCCAGGUUUUAAUCCAGUAUUUCGCUCUCCUGCCUUGAACCUGACCAUUUAGGCGCUUGCAAUCUUGCUGAAUACUUAUAAAAUGUUACCUGUUUUUUGCAGAAAAAUCUUCUUUUAAUGAAAUUUCUUUAUUGUUUACCAAGACACUUCCUGUAUAGCUCCACCAUGAAUUUUAGGAAUUAAGUUUAGGAAAGCGAAACACAAUUUUGGAACACUUUUUAUAGAAGCACAAGUAAUCCUUUCAGAUGUCAGGACAUAUUAAUAAUUACAUUAAAAUAUAUUCAGAUUUAUUUGCAGUGAAAAGUUUACCUUUGGUAAAGAUGUUAAAUUUUGAAACAUAUUUUAACUUUUGCUCAGUUUCACUGGAGCCUUGUUAACCUUCAUUUGUCUUUUAGUGAAGGGAGAGGAAAAUUUGAUCAGAAGUAAUUUUGAUAAUUCUAACGUAUUGGAUAUUCUGUCAUUGCCACAUAUUGUGUACUCUCAUAAUUUUAUAUCAGCUUCCCCUUUUCCUACAUUGUGGACGUUAUUAAUUUAUAAAACAAACGUGGGUUUUCUUUGGGCCAAGCACUGUACUAGGACGCAUGAAACAUAAUACUGCUCUGAGGUAGCUGAAGCUACUGUCGUUAAACACAGCUAUAUGGUAGAUCUAUGUUUUUUUGUUUUUUAAUUCAUAUAUAAGGGAGGAACCUAUAUGUAGUAUGAUUUUAUAAAUUACAGGUUCUGGUAGUCUAUAUUUUCAAUAUGAUGGAAACAUCACAUAAUUGUCCUCUAGCAGUAAAAGUAAGGUUAUUGCUACAUUGAUCUGACAGUUGCAGGGUUUAUGAUGGCUCUCAAAAAGAUAAAAUUGUGUUUACGAUUUUAAUGUCUUUGAUGGUUUUGGAAAAAAGCUUGUUUUGGGGACUUAUGCAUUAAGUACGUUUCAGGAAAAGAUACCUGAUCUAUUUGAAACACAUUUUAUCUGUUCUUGUAUUAUUAGAAUUUCUUUUGAGGUAGUUCAGUGUAUUGUCAAGAUAAGCCCCAAAUUCCCUUUUCAUAAAUAGAAAAUGAAGUAUUGACUUAGUUUAGUUUGAUAUAUAAAAUGACAUUAGACUUAACAUCAACUCUCCAUUACAAACAGCAAUGAAAGAGAAUAGUGGUACAAGAGAUACAAAACUUUUUCGUGCUGAGUUUUGGAAGACAAUAUAGUUUUAUAGCAAGCUCAUCUUUCUAGUGGAGUCUAAAGGUCGUUUUAAAUUUAGUUUUUAUUAACCUUAUGGACUGCAGGAGAUUGGCAGCGUGAAAUCAUCAUAGCCUGAAGAGGGUUAUCAACUUGGCAUUAACUUUUUUCUUUUUCUGUGGAGAAUCUACAGGCAUUCCCAUGGUGCCUAGAAGAUUCAGGUGGAACUGGCAAAACCUUUUUAUGUGCCUGUGUUUUGCUGGGCGGCAGUCAUUUAGAAUAAAUACUCUUCUGUGCUGCAUAUUCUUUUGCUCCUCCAGAUCUUUUCUUCACCCUGCUCUGUGCUGAGAAGCGACUUCUGUGGACUGCAUCAACAGAGCUCUUGCUUUUAGUUUUUGGUUGGCUUUGGCUAAUGGGUCAUCAGCAGGAGGCCUGGAAGAGCCAGUUCCUUGCUCCUGGAUUUAUGUUGCCAGAGCUGUUCUGUGUUUUGUGAGUAGGUCAUGGCUUCUAUUCAGUGGCCCCCUCUGCCAGCCUGCUACAGUUACAGAUCUUUCUGAGUUCUGGUAACCCUUUAUUUGCCCCUUUAGGCCUCAAGAUGAUAAUGGCUUCCUCAUGCUGCUGGUCUGGGAGUAUGCCACCAUCCCUUGCUGCUUUCCCUAAACCCUGCCUAUGCCUUUGAAGAUGGUUCCUUCAUUAAAUUCUCUUGAAUAUUUUA